rnacentral:lncRNA from 1 species
GUCUACUUAACUACUUUAGUGCUUGUUACGAUCAUGGGUGGAAGAAAUGGGUUUGAUACAUAGAGUUAGCGGAGCAUUCUCCCAAGAGUAAAAUGUCGUGAGGAAAGUACUCGUACUACUCUUGUUCCCAACUAACCUUUCUUACCAAGAGAGCAAGCAUCCUGUGAAGCACAUGGAUGAACAUUCCAAAAUGAUUUAAUGAUACUUGUGGAGGAAGACAAGA